UACGUAGGGGGCUAGCGUUGUCCGGAAUCAUUGGGCGUAAAGAGCGUGUAGGCGGUCCGGUAAGUCCGCUGUGAAAGUCGGGGGCUCAACCCUCGAAUGCCGGUGGAUACUGUCGGGCUAGAGUACGGAAGAGGCGAGUGGAAUUCCUGGUGUAGCGGUGAAAUGCGCAGAUAUCAGGAGGAACACCGGUGGCGAAGGCGGGUCUCUGGGCCGAUACUGACGCUGAGGAGCGAAAGCGUGGGGAGCGAACAGG
rnacentral:rRNA from 1 species